rnacentral:rRNA from 1 species
CCGGCGAUGUCCGAAUGGGGAAACCCAGUGCAAUUCGUUGCACUAUCGUUAACUGAAUACAUAGGUUAACGAGGCGAACCGGGGGAACUGAAACAUCUAAGUACCCCGAGGAAAAGAAAUCAACCGAGAUUCCCCCAGUAGCGGCGAGCGAACGGGGAGCAGCCCAGAGUCUGAAUCAGCUUGUGUGUUAGUGGAACGGUCUGGAAAGUCCGACGGUACAGGGUGAUAGUCCCGUACACCAAAAUGCACAGGCUGUGAACUCGAAGAGUAGGGCGGGACACGUGGUAUCCUGUCUGAAUAUGGGGG